UACGAAGGGGGCUAGCGUUGUUCGGAAUUACUGGGCGUAAAGCGCGUGCAGGUGGCUCAUUACGCCCGGCGUGAAAGCCCCCCGGCUCAACCGGGGAGGGUCGUCGGGGACGGGUGAGCUUGAGGGUAGCAGGGGCUGGUAGAAUUCCAGGUGUAGCGGUGAAAUGCGUAGAUAUCUGGAGGAACACCGGUGGCGAAGGCGACAUCCUGGACCGGUAUUGACGCUGAGGCGCGAAAGCCAGGGGAGCAAACGGG
rnacentral:rRNA from 1 species